GCUUGGGUCCAAGUAUACUCCACACAGCAGUGCAGGGGCUUGGACCCGGAAAUGGGUUACAGCUGGGUUUUUUAUGGGCUGGUCUAGGGGAUUUUCAGAAGGGGUGGAGGAAUUUUUUUCAUUCCAAUAUGGGGGAAAUGUGGGGGAGUUUCUUAAGAUCUGAUAUGGGUUUCUCUGCGAGGGCAUUCUGAGCUCUGUUAUCUUUCUGAUAUGGGAUUCCCUGCCGAGGAGAUUCUGCAGUUUUUCCUGUCAAGUUCAGCUCUUAUUCACAGGGGCCUAAGAUGGCUCUACUUGUGCUAAUGCUAAACUUGAGGUGGAAUGGCCUUAAUUUUUCUCGGCCUCCACAUAUCAUUUUAACCAUUCACAAGUGUACAGUUCAGUAGCAUUAAAUAAAUUCAUAAUGUUGUGUAACCAUCAUCAUUGCCUAUACCCAAAACUUUUCAUCAUCCCAACAUCAUCCCAACAAAACCUCUGUAUCCAUUAAACAAUAACUCCCUCUUCUUCUAGCUCCUGGUAACUUUUAUUCUACUUUCUUUGUCUAUGAAUUUACCCAUUCAAAACACUACAUUUUGUAAACCAUAUCUUCCCCCUAAUCUUUCAGGUUUAUCCAUAAUUUAACCACAAUCUAUUUAACCUUAUUUCAUCAAGGUUUCUAAUAUACAUUCUCCAAUCUAAUUAGAUCUGUUUUCCUGAUAUGCCAUUCUCUCAACCACUCACUGUAUUUAUAUCUAUAGUCACUACCACACAGUUUUAGCAUGUUUAAUCUUUGAGUGUUAGAGCUGCUUGUGUCAUAUAUGUCUGCUAGUCUAAUCUCAUUUUAUAGGCUGGAGAGCUUAAUAACUUGCUUGAAGUCACACACAGACUUCAAGCAGAUAUGAGGUUUGAAAACACAGAAUCCAAGUCUUUUUUUUUUAUGGUGAAAAUAGUUGUCAUUUAAUUUAGCUUAUGAUUUAAAAAGGUAAAUACCAUUGGUUAUUUUACAUAUAUAAUCUGGUCUUGGAAAAUUUUACACGAAAAGGAGAAUCUUCCAAUAUAAAAUUAAAAUGUAAUCUUGAGCAGUAAAAACAAUAUGGUUGUUCUGCAGCACCAAAGAAGACAAAACUCCAGAUCCAAAAGCCUCAGAGAACUUUGACAAAUAUGACCCAUGAGAGAUGUAGGAUGACCUAGAAUCCAAGUCUUUUAAAACAAUCUAAAACGAUUGUUUUUCAAGCAAUUACAACGCCACAGACACAGUUCUGAGCAUUUUACACUGUAUUCUCAUACAAGUCCUAAGGAGUCUUUAUCACUAUUAUUUUCAUUUUCUAUUUCACAAAUGAGGAAGUGCCCAAUUCAGAGAGCACUUGCCUUCUUUUAAUAAUUAAAUAUAAUCUCGAAUUUUUCUAUGUGCAUGAAUCUUCUCCACAUCUAGGCAAGUAAGUUCCACAGGGGCAGCGAUCACGUCUUUUGUAGCUGCAUUCACAUUGGUCAGUAAAUAAACAUAUGGGUAAAAGGAUUGGCGUGCGCUGUAUUUGGAGAAUUUGCUCCAAUCUUGACACUUUAAGUACAAAGGAUCUGAGUAACGACAACAACUCAAAUCCUUACAAUAAGUGGAUGCAGAAGCGUCCUGAUCUCACAGUCCUGACGCUCAUUAAACCCCAGUUGCCUGGUCCGGCAUGUUGCAAUUGACAAAGCUGAACCUCAAAAGCCAGAUUUGGGUUCUGUCCUUAAACUCCAGGGAGGAGCCAACUCUGAAGGUCCGCGCAGGAUCCGAGCCCCUUAAGUGGGUGGUUACUGUUCCUUCGGACCCGGGUUUGGUUUGUUUUUUGCUGACAUUUCGGCUAGGCUGCGUCUGGGUGGCGAGACCCCAAGUCUCCGUCAGGUGGCCCAGGUGGGAGCGGGGGUCCAGCCCCACCCCUCUUCGGGUGU
rnacentral:lncRNA from 1 species